rnacentral:misc_RNA from 1 species
UCAACCCUCGAUGCCCCCCCGGGGGCGCCGGUGUUGGGGGACGGCCCGCCGCCCAGAGCGGAUGGCCGCCCCCGAAAUGCAGUGGCGACCCCGCCGCAGCCUCCCCUGCGUAGUAGCUACAUACUGAAACCUCGCACCGGAGAGCGGCGCGGCUCUGCCGUUAAACCCCAACUCACGAAAGGUUGACCUCGGAUCAGGUA